rnacentral:lncRNA from 1 species
CUAAGCCCAUCAACCAGGCAGUCUAGUGAGAGGAAACGCAGCGGCGAGGCCGAUGGCUCCCACUGGCGAGAAGAACUGAAAAUAAAGGAAUACUACAGGAAGUGGGGGCAGUGGAUUAAAAUGUCACAACUGGAAAGCAGGAUGCUGAAUCUUGAGUUACGUGUUGAGAGAAGAGAAAGAGAAGGAGGAACUGAGGAGGAGCCAGCCAAGGCGGGGGUCUGCUGAGCUGGCGGAAUGUGGCAGGGCUGGGACGCUACAGAAGUAAAAGUGAUACUAAGUGACAAGAACAAGCAGUUGGAAAAAGUCUGUCUUAAAAGGAGGUUUGCAACAUACAAGCUUACAAUUACUAACUGGUACUGUGGAAAUGAGCAUGAUACUGCUUAAAACUCGCCUGCCAAUCUUAGGGAAAAAUGGCUCAACUCUGGUCUUGUAAGAUAACCAGGAGCAGAAUCAAGACACAGCCCAAGUUUCCAGACUCCUGUCUCUCCAGACUCCCAAUCUAAUAUUCGUCUUACCACGCCCUCCUGCACCCUUGCAGCUACUCCACAUCAGCAAUUCAUUCUCAGUUUUUCUCUCACACUUUUUUUUUAACUAAUAAAUUU